CCCCUUUUCAUCGGGGCCCAUGGUCCUUAUAUUGAGCGUGCCGACAACGGCUAUGGCGAUAAAUUGCCAUCGUAAUAAACCCAUCGGACCCGGGGGCAGUACCCGGCGCCUCCACCAAAAACCCUCUGCUUACAGAGGCUUAUGGGGGCGAAACAGGAUCGACGAGGGCGUAAAGGGUGUGUUUUCGCUCGGCAUGGUACCACCGUUAUCGGACUAAAACUUAUAGU
rnacentral:tmRNA from 1 species